AAUAGCCUGGUGGUUAGGGCAUUUACUUGUGAGGUGGAAGACCUGGGUUCAAAUCCCUGUU
rnacentral:tRNA from 1 species